AAGACGACCUCAGUUCGGAUUGAAGGCUGAAAUCGCCUUCAUGAAGUCGGAAUUGCUAGUAAUGGCAGGUCAGCAUACUGCCGUGAAUACGUUCCCGGGCCUUGUACACACCGCCCGUCACACCAUGAGAGUUGGAGAUACCCGAAGCCUAUGAGCUAACUUUUAGAGGCAGUAGUCGAAGGUAGAAUCAAUGAUUGGGGUGAAGUCGUAACAAGGUACC
rnacentral:rRNA from 1 species